rnacentral:rRNA from 1 species
AGGACGAACGCUGGCGGCGUGCUUAACACAUGCAAGUCACGGGGGCUGGUAGCAAUACCAGUAACCGGCGAACGGGUGCGUAACACGUGAGCAACCUGCCGAUCUGAGGGGGAUAGCCGGCCCAACGGCCGGGUAAUACCGCAUACGUUCAUUUGGGGACAUCCCUGAGUGAAGAAACCUCCGGGGCAGAUCGAGGGGCUCGCGGCCUAUCAGCUAGUUGGCAGUGUAAUGGACCACCAAGGCGACGACGGGUAGCUGGU